rnacentral:rRNA from 1 species
GACGGACGCUGGCGGCGUGCUUAACACAUGCAAGUCGAACGGAAAGGCCCCAGCUUGCUGGGGUACUCGAGUGGCGAACGGGUGUGUAACACGUGGGUGAUCUGCCCUGCACUCUGGGAUAAGCCUGGGAAACUGGGUCUAAUACCGGAUAGGACCGUGCUUUAGUGUGUGCGGUGGAAAGUUUUUCGGUGCAGGAUGAGCCCGCGGCCUAUCAGCUUGUUGGUGGGGUAAUGGCCUACCAAGGCGGCGACGGGUAGCCGGCCUGAGAGGGUGUACGGCCACAUUGGGACUGAGACACGGCCCAGACUCCUACGGGAGGCAGCAGUGGGGAAUAUUGCACAAUGGGCGCAAGCCUGAUGCAGCGACGCCGCGUGGGGGAUGACGGCCUUCGGGUUGUAAACCCCUUUCGGCAGGGACGAAGCUUUUGUGACGGUACCUGCAUAAGAAGCACCGGCUAACUACGUG